CUGUCUAUAUAAAUAUUUUGGAUUUGAAUAUUAAACUUUUUAGAUUGCUAACAAACAAUACAACUAACUAUUAUGUGGAACGAGUCAAGACAUAUUCCAACUCUAUGAUUGAUCUACCUAUGCAUUGGCCAAACCAAAAUAAUUCAAUGCACUAGGCCGAAUUAUAUUAAAAUUUUCAGGCCAAAAUAUAUAAAGAAAACAAUAGCUGUGGGUAUGUGGGAGCUUUAUUCGAACUCCAUGAACACAAAAGAGAGCAGUUCAAAGGAGCAAGACAGCAACUCCAUCGCUUCUAUCUCAGCAUUCUUUCUAAUCAUUACGAUGUUCCCUUUUGAACUCAUUCCAUCAAAGGCAACAUCUUUGAAUGCUUUGGGUUGGUAAUUAAGUAGACUUCUACCAAACUCAGAGCAGUGUUUUCACAAUUUGCGUACACACAGACAAAAACCAUCUGUUUAUCAUACAGAUCCACCAGUUUGAUUUAUAUUAUUUUUCAACUCCAAGAAAACUGGAACAUAAAUUAAUACUUCCAUCAUUCCAGAUAAACACAAACAACAAGUUGCAGCAUAUAUACCCCAGUUGCUGCAGAAGCUCCAUAAGCUCUGAUCCCAACAAAAAGAAGUUUAGUCAGACAAUUCGCAGAUCUUCAAAGCCAAAACCUUAAAUGAAUCAAAACAACGGAAUUAUCCGACGGUUGCCAUAACAACAGAUAAUCAUGAGUUCAACGGUCAGUAUAUUCGUCUCGCAACUCAAACUUUGACGUGACGUGACAACUAGUUAAGACAGUCACGACCUAAAUUUGGUGUAUUUUGAUUAAGUGAAAUGAGUCGAGACUUACUCUUGACUUUAAAUGUGGGAGCUUUAUUCGAACUCCAUGAACACAAAAACAGAGUUCAAAGGAGCAAGACAGCCACUCCAUCACUUCUAUCUCAGCAUUCAUUCUAACCAUUACGAUUAUUCCCUUUUCAUCUCAUUUCAUCAAUCAAAGGGAACAUCCUCAAUGCUUUUGGUAAUCGAACAUACAAUUUAAAAUUAUUUUUAAAAUUCAUCCGAAAGAUAAACAUGAACUAAUAUAUCUCCAUCACUCCAGAUAAACACAAACAACAAGUUGCAGCAGUUGCUACAGAAAGCCCCACAGAUGUGGAUCUCUGAAAGCCAAAACCUUAAAUGAAUCAAAAUUAAGACGGCAAGAAAGUAAUAAUAUUGAAAUCCAGGAUAAGAGAACAACUAUUAAUUAGAUCGCGGAAGAGAGGAGAUGGAGAUGGGAUGGGUGAUGACGAGCAAGGUUUAUCUUCUUGCUUGCUGCGAAUAUAUGCUGUGAAACGGAAUGAUCCGACGGCUUCCAUUGCAACAGAUAAUCA
rnacentral:lncRNA from 1 species